rnacentral:rRNA from 1 species
AAUAGAUACCCCGGUAGUCCACGCCGUAAACGAUGAGUGCUAAGUGCUAGGGGGGUUUCCGCCCCUUAGUGCUGCAGCUAACGCAUUAAGCACUCCGCCUGGGGAGUACGGUCGCAAGACUGAAACUCAAAGGAAUUGACGGGGGCCCGCACAAGCGGUGGAGCAUGUGGUUUAAUUCGAAGCAACGCGAAGAACCUUACCAGGUCUUGACAUCCUCUGACAAUCCUAGAGAUAGGACGUCCCCUUCGGGGGCAGAGUGACAGGUGGUGCAUGGUUGUCGUCAGCUCGUGUCGUGAGAUGUUGGGCUAAGUCCCGCAACGAGCGCAACCCUUGAUCUUAGUUGCCAGCAUUCAGUUGGGCACUCUAAGGUGACUGCCGGUGACAAACCGGAGGAAGGUGGGGAUGACGUCAAAUCAUCAUGCCCCUUAUGACCUGGGCUACACACGUGCUACAAUGGACAGAACAAAGGGCAGCGAAACCGCGAGGUUAAGCCAAUCCCACAAAUCUGUUCUCAGUUCGGAUCGCU